rnacentral:rRNA from 1 species
UACGAAGGGGGCUAGCGUUGCUCGGAAUCACUGGGCGUAAAGGGCGCGUAGGCGGCCGAUCAAGUCAGGGGUGAAAGCCUGUGGCUCAACCACAGAAUUGCCUUUGAUACUGUUUGGCUCGAGACCGGAAGAGGUUGGUGGAACUGCGAGUGUAGAGGUGAAAUUCGUAGAUAUUCGCAAGAACACCAGUGGCGAAGGCGGCUCACUGGCCCGGUACUGACGCUGAGGUGCGAAAGCGUGGGGAGCAAACAGG